CCUAACCUAACCCUAACUUAUUUUAAAAAUUGAUAUAAAAACGGAAACCUAACCCUAACAAAAACCCCAACCGACUAACCUAACCCUAACUUAUUUUAAAAAUUCAGAUAUAAAACGGAAACCUUAUUUUGAAGUAUACUAUCUAGCAAUUACCUUAUGUGCAACGAUUCCAAAUCCAAGCAACGCUUUUGCUGAAGGUGGCUCUCUACAGUUGUUUAAGCAUGGGACUGGUAAAGAAAUGACGCAAUCUUGUCGAGUUGAAAUUUUAUUACGUCGGCAAAAAUCGCAUUUGACCGCGCAAGAUUUGUAAUGCAAUAAUUUUUUUCCUUCGGUCACUUUUUUGAAAUAUUGUAUUUUAAAAGUACUAGCAAUGUAUUGCAACAUGCUCAAUUUUUAAAAACUCCGGCUAUAAAACAGAUUUCACGUAAUAUCUCAAAACCUGAAUUUAUCCCCUCCCCCCCUAAUUUUUUUAUAUAAUCUUCCACUAGAUAUUCCCUUUGCACCUACAAAAUUUCAGAAACUUUGACCGAAGGAUUUUUUUUUAUAAAUUUGCUUCUUUCGAACGAUUAUGCCUAAAGUAUAAAGAUUACGCACGCGUUUCUGCUUCCAAAAAAUCCACAUUUCACACACUGAAUAGCAAAGUAUUUUGCGUCAUUGUGAAGACCUUAUUUUUCGCUGUUGUUUCUUUACAAUUGUAGGGAGGCUUUGGCCUGAAAAUAUCAAUAAAUACCUACAUGCAUGCAUGCAUGCAAGAAACCGAAUUCAAUGAGUACAACUGCCCCAAAUUGCUUCGAAGAGCUAUUUCUAAAACCGGGAUAGGGAAAUUGAUCAAGUUUUUAUUACGCAUAUAUAUUUCAAUUAAUUAUUUUACACCGAGUGUUUUAUAGGAAUAUUCACUUAUAUAACCUCUACGAUAUUACACUACUAGUCAAUAAUCGUUUGCUAGGUGCAUAGGGAGCUAGUCUGUAUAGGUGUCGCUGAAAACGCAAUACUAUAAGUAAUAAAGUAUAUAUACAUUGCCAUUGGAACAUUCCGAUCUCUGGAUUAUACGAGUGAACACUAUUACCAGUUUUUCUAAACCUCUCAUUCUAAACAUUUUUUAUUUAAUAUUUAAUCGGAAUUCAAUUUAGACUAUAUUCACAGGAGCAGUUUGAAAACGAUACCAAAAAGUAAAAAACUAUAGCCGUCGCGUUAACACUGACGCCGAAGCGAAAUUGUUUGCCGUGAAAACGUCAUUUUUGCCGUAACAAUUUGGGCACGGUUUCUAAACGGCACGAGAUGAAAACGUAGCGUUUGGCGGCUUCGUGUCAACACAAACGCCGUUAUUUUUUGUACCGCUUGCAAACCAAGCAUCUCAGGUGUUAAAACAAUAAAUUCGAAUGCUUUUCGUUUCAAUUUAUUUGCUCUAUUUGAAAUAUUUUGGGUUACACGAGUGCUAAUUUAUUAAAUUUGUAAACAAAGUGUAACAGCGCAGCGUUGAACACACGGAACGUAUUAUUUCGCUCCAGUGUAGUUCAGUGAACGUAGUCUAAAAAGAUUAAAACCCAAGUUAAAACCGAUGAAAUGUUAAAAUUACAACGUUUCGGGAAACUUGGUUGCUCUUUUUCAAGUAUUUGUGCAAUAUAUAUAUUUAAUCUUUCUAGAGUUUUACAUUAAAUAGUAUACCGGAUGUCCCAAAAAAAAGUACGCCUGUUUGAUUCGUAAUAACUUCUAAACAAGUAAAGCUUUUUUAGAGAAAUAACUUGCAUUAAAUAGAGGAAGGCCUAACUUAGAUUUUGAUAUAUUACAGUUGUAUUUCACUUAAAAAUUCACGGAGAUAUUAAUCUUUAAAAUCGGGAGCAUAUUUCUGGAUGUGUCUGAAAUAUGCAAAAAACGGCGUAUCAAAUAUUAAUCAAGAUUUGCCCGAAUGAAACAUGCACUAUUACCAAUAUUAGGGCUGCCAACCCUGGAAUAUGAAUUUUUUUUUCGCCGAC